UACGUAGGGUGCAAGCGUUAAUCGGAAUUACUGGGCGUAAAGCGUGUGUAGGUGGCCCACUAAGUCUGGUGUGAAAGCCCUGAGCUCAACUCAGGAACUGCAUCGGAAACUGGCGGGCUAGAGUCCGGGAGAGGGUAGUGGAAUUCCUGGUGUAGAGGUGAAAUUCGUAGAUAUCAGGAGGAACACCGGUGGCGAAGGCGGCUACCUGGACCGGUACUGACACUGAGACACGAAAGCGUGGGGAGCAAAC
rnacentral:rRNA from 1 species